GCUUUGCGACUUGACUGGGAGCAGAUAAAGCCUCAUUAGUUAGGCAAGCUGGAAUAUAUAAUGCACAUAAGUUUGAAAUUUUGGAGAACGUUAGUGUGAUGCAGCAGAGUGAUUCUUGUUAUAUACUGAUUUAUUUCCAACCUGGAGUACUUUGUACAGUGUUUGGCGAAAAAGAUGCAACACGAGUAGGUGUACCAAUAAACAAGCAGAAUAAAAUUCGUGUUGAAUUGUUA